UGAGGAAUAUUGGUCAAUGGGCGAGAGCCUGAACCAGCCAAGUCGCGUGAAGGAUGACUGUCUUAUGGAUUGUAAACUUCUUUUAUACGGGAAUAACAAGAGUCACGUGUGGCUCCCUGCAUGUACCGUAUGAAUAAGCAUCGGCUAACUCCGUGCCAGCAGCCGCGGUAAUACGGAGGAUGCGAGCGUUAUCCGGAUUUAUUGGGUUUAAAGGGUGCGUAGGCGGCCUGUUAAGUCAGCGGUGAAAUCUAGGAGCUUAACUCCUAAAUUGCCAUUGAUACUGGCGGGCUUGAGUGUAGAUGAGGUAGGCGGAAUACGUGGUGUAGCGGUGGAAUGCAUAGAUAUCACGCAGAACUCCGAUUGCGAAGGCAGCUUACUAAGGUACAACUGACGCUGAAGCACGAAAGCGUGGGUAUCAAACAGGAUUAGAUACCCUGGUAGUCCACGCAGUAAACGAUGAUAACUGGGCGUAUGCGAUAUACAGUAUGCUCCUAAGCGAAAGCGUUAAGUUAUCCACCUGGGGAGUACGCCGGCACGGU
rnacentral:rRNA from 1 species